AGAGCAAGCCGUGGCCAUCUGCUUUUAUUCAAAGCCUGACCGGCAGGCUCGCUCUGUCUCCGUGCAUGUGUGUCUCUGCCUCUGCCUCAGCAUGACCUGUUUCUCCUACUCGGAGUAUUUCUCCUUGUUUCAUUCAUGUCAUCGCCACUCCAGAUUGGCCCAGCAGACAGGCCGUGCUCAGCCGUCCGGCUCGGGGGCAGCCUGGGGGGUCAGGCGAAGGUGCGACAGCAGCCAGCUCAGCACAUCCCAGGCCGUAGAAAUUGAUCCUGUAGUGGCAGCAAUCAGGGAUGGAGAUGAAAAAGCAGUAUUCAACAUGAUGAAAUCAGGAAAAAACCUUUCUGUACCUAACAAGGACGGCUGGAUACCCCUCCAUGAAGCUGCAUACUAUGGCCAAGUGGGCUGCCUGAGCCUGUUGCAAAAAGCAUACCCAGGCACCAUCGACCAGCGCACCCUCAAUGAGGAGACAGCUCUGUACCUGGCCACCAGCCGGGGCAACCUGGACUGCCUGCUCACCCUGCUGCAGGCUGGGGCUGAGCCCGACAUCUCCAACAAGGCCAGAGAAACGCCGCUCUACAAAGCUUGUGAGCGCAAGAAUGCAGAGGCUGCAAGACUGCUGGUGCAGUACAAUGCAGAUACCAACCAUCGCUGCAAUCGGGGAUGGACCGCGCUCCAUGAGGCCGUCUCCCGAAACGACCUGGAGAUCAUGGACAUCCUUGUGAAAGGGGGUGCCAAGAUUGAGUCAGCAAAUGCCUACGGGAUCACUUCCUUAUUUGUGGCAGCUGAGAGUGGGCAGUUGGAAGCUUUGAGAUACCUUGCAAGAUGUGGUGCUGAUAUAAACACACAAGCCAGUGAUAACGCCUCUGCUCUUUAUGAAGCCUGUAAAAAUGGACAUGUGCCCAUUGUGGAGUUUCUUUUGUCCCAAGGAGCAGAUGCCAACAAAGCCAAUAAGGAUGGCCUGUUACCUCUUCACAUAGCAGCCAAAAAAGGGAUUUGCGAGAUUGUGUCCAUGCUGAUCCCUGUGACCAGCCGCACCCGUGUCAAGCGCAGCGGCAUCAGCCCCCUGCACCUGGCGGCCGAGCGCAACAACGACGAUAUCCUGGAGGAGCUGAUAGAAGCUGGCUAUGAGGUCAACACCGCCCUCUCUGAUGAACGCUCCUGCCUCUAUGAGGACAGACGCACCACCCCACUCUAUUUUGCUGUUUUUAACAACAACAUCUACGCCACAGAGCUGCUGCUGCAAGCUGGAGCCAACCCCAAUGUUGACCUCAUUAACCCAUUACUCAUCUCCAUCCGCCACGGCUGCCUGAAGACCAUGAAACUGCUUCUUGACCAUGGGGCAAACAUUGAUGCCUAUAUAUCAAGUCAUCCCACCACCUUUCCAGCUACCAUCAUGUUUUCAAUGAAGUACCUUUCUGUGCUGAAGUACCUCCUGGAUCUGGGCUGUGAUGCAGGUUCCUGUUUUGAGUGUCAGUACGGAAAUGGCCCACACCCUGCAUUAAAUUACAGAAGGGAAAGACUGAAUGAUCCCCAGGUGACCAGGGAGCCAGCUGUAGUACAGUUUUGUGAAAUGGUGUCUACUCCAGAGAUAAGUCGCUGGGCUGGGCCGAUCAUCGAUGUUCUUCUGGAUUAUGUGGGAAAUGUGCAGCUCUGUUCCCGGCUCAAGGAGCAUAUUGACAGCUAUGAGGACUGGGCUGUCAUUAAAGAAAAAGCAGAACCCCCACGACCUCUUUCCCACCUUUGCCGCAUCAAGGUCCGGAGCGUGGUUGGAAGGAACCGCAUUAAACUCCUGGACACGCUGCCCCUCCCAGACAGACUGAUCCGCUAUCUACAGCACGACUACUCACAGUGACCCCAGCACACUGCAGUGCAGCAGCUUCCCAGCAUGGCACCCAGCCUCACCACUGUGGCACAGGUGCACAGCAGGGAGGAAUUGCUGCUGGCUUGGUUGAGCACCCCUCUGUGACUAAGAGAAAUGCGCUUUUGAAGCAGGAAUGAGAAGAAAACAAGGAGACAGCUAACAUAGGAGACUGCUGUUAGGUUUUUCAAGAGAAAACACAUACAAUUCACCUCAGACCUUAGUCUGCAAAGAAGAAGGAAUGAAAGCCAAUACUGACAAAUGAGUAGUGCUGAAGCAUGCAUCAGUGAGGAACUCAAAAGUGUCCUGAAGCUGUGGUGGAGUUUAGCAUCCUUGCCGUGGUCACAAUUAAGAACUUGUCAAGAAUCAAUGUGUUUGGGAAAGCAAUCACAUUGCCUUCACUGACUGAGAUUUUUAUUGUAGUUUCUAUUCUAUUGUUUGGAUUUUUGCUAAGUGUGUUGGUAGCUAAUUCUCUGAUAUUUUGACACCACCUUGCUAACACCUUUUUUUCUUUUUUUGUACCUUUCUUAUUAAGUACUUGAUUUAUGAACCUUCAGAUCUCAGAACUCUUUAAUAGACUAAAAUCCAGAAAUGCUGAAUCCUUUAAAAGUCAAGGAAAGGUUUAUUUAAGGAGGAUGGAAGAAUUAUAUUUGCACAUAGUGAACACAGUUCAUUCUGUGUUAUAUUUGCAAUAGGAAGUAAGUGAAAUUUUGCUUGAGAGAAUUUCCUAGACUAGGGAUUUGAAAGCAACCCUUAGCUCUUUCAGGUUUUUUUGGUGCAAAUUAGAAGUAGCUGCACUGUAAACAGUAGGUUUAUGCUUUCAUGAAGCCAGUGUCAGAACAGAACAAAGCCCUAGAGGAACAGGAACAGAGAGUGAUGUGAAGGAGAGAGGCAACACUGCUGAACCAACUUAUUCUCUUCCUCCCCCAGAUCUUAUCUCUGUAAAACCCAGGUCUCCAACCUCCUUAGACCUCUAUGGCUGUAACAAUACAUGAUUGAAAGUAAGAGAAUUUAUUUCAAAAUUAUGGAAUUCAAACUGCAAAAUUUAUGGAAAUUAAUACUCAGAAUUAGGUUUCCAAAUCCUUAUUCAGAUGCCUAAACAAUGGCAAGUUGCUUGCACCAGGUGUUCCACUUAAAUCAGGGGAAUCAUAUACAUAUCAGAUAUUACUGAGGCAGAAUAAAAAAUCUCAGAAUUUAGCCCUGAAUUUUCUGACUUUGAGAGUUUGAAGGAUCUUUUAGCUUCCUUUGACACUGACGAAAGUUAUUAUCUCAGCUUCUUUGAAAAUUAGGUCACCUAUUUACAGCUGAGAUCCACAUCUGAUUUAUGGCAGCUUAACAAGUCACCAUCUAUCUGCUGAACCACUAUAAUUGUCCGUGAAAUUCUUUUAUUGAAGUUUUUAACAAGUCACAUUCCCUCACAGCUGGGGAGGCCAAGGAGCCCAUGAACAGUUAUUGGCAGAGACUACAGAUCCCUUGACAGGUGUGACUUGGUGAACUGCUUUGAUGAGUGCUUUAUUCUUCACUAGGCACCUAAGAAAGAAUGGAAGAAACUAAAUUUGGAACUGCAUCUUUGCAGAUCUUAUGCUAGAAGCACACUCCUUACCUUAGGUGACAGAAGAGCUGUGCACCAUAGUCUGCUUGGAGUCCCCACUGGUGACCUUACAGAUCUGGUUUUGUUUGUGGGUCUGCAUACCGUCCACGGGAUAUGACAGAACUCUAAGUAGGGAAAAUACAUUGCACUGAGUUUUAUUUGUGUGGAGUUUCAUACCUUAACACAGGACUAAAGUGUGUUGCACAAAUACAAGUAAUACAAUCUGUCUGGGCACACAGACUGGGAUGACUUUGCAUGACAUGUCAUCACUUGUGGGACAGGAUGAGAGGAGAAAAAGCAUUGGUUACAUGAUUCCUUACUCUGUCCAUUGCUGUCCCCUCUAAAAAUGCAAAAAUUGAAAAACCAACAGAGUUUCAAUUCACACUGAACACUGCUCUUGUAAAGCUUUGGAAAGUCAGGUGAGAUUCCUCCACUGGUGAAAUUUCAUCCAGUAAUUUCCUUUACUGCCAGUUUAAGAUCUACUCCCUUGUCUCCUGCAGGGUGAACAGGGAAUUGGUUAGAAAUACAUUGGGUGGAGAGAAAAGGAACUAGAAAUUGCUGUAUCAGUUCUGCCAGUGAAGGCCCUGUAUUGGUAAGCAGUACCUGGAGAAAUAGGAAAUCACUGUGGAGUUCAUGCAUCUCUCACUUUCUGGGUCUGUGCAACAAAGGUCUGGGUCUUACAUCGAUAUAAAUCAGAAGUCCUUGAAAUAGAGUAAGUAUAAAAAAGCAGAGUUGUAGAGGGUGAUGGAUACAGACAGAGCUUGGUGGAAACCACUUCAGAGUUUGGUGAGCAGUGACAGCCCUGAAGACCCUGGCAGGUAGAAGGGCUCACAAUCACCAAGUACUUGUAUAACUCCAGAAAUGGGAUUUCAUAAGCAUCCCAAACUGGGAAUUUUCCCCAUAGCCAACAUUUUUGUAUCCACAAAAGUCUGGCAAGUAGCAAUUUCUUUUUAUGUCCUUGGAGAAGCUGAAACUGGGUUUGAAUGGGAUAAAUAUGGAAAGCCCAUUUCUUCUUUCAACCAAGAGACCUUAGUUUCUACUGGGAGACCCAUGUCCUGAUUGCUGUCAAAGAUCUGUCCUGAGCAGGAGUCACUGAGCCAGAGAGCACUGGUCUGAUGGGAACAUAACACAACUGUGGGAAGGAUAAGUGCAUGCUGUGCACAGAAACUGAGGUGAGCAGAGUCUAUCUGUUAGAGGGGGAGUCUGGUAAUUACAAUGUUAUUAAGUCCUUUCUGCUUGAUCUUUAAAGCAAACCUUCACACACUCAGUUUACAUUUAUUUGCACUGAAAUGGAGCCCGCUACCUCUCCACUCCAGUCACUGACAUACUUUUGUGCACAACACUGAAUCUGCACAAAUUCAAUGUGCCUUUAAUGCAUCUAUUUACAUUUACUGUGAAAAGAAAAAUACUCCAAAACCCAGGCAAGCCAGGCUUUGUAAGCAGAUCAGUAAUUCUAGUGCAAGGUAAAGUGGCUUGUUUCACUGAGUGUGAUAGUUAGACUCCUUCAGAGAUGAUGACUUUAUGUGAAAUGUUCUAGAAAUAUUUCAUGACCAGGUUACUGUACUUUUUUUUUUUACUGCAACAUGUGCAAUUCACUUGAUGUUCUUGUGCACUUUUUUGAUUUUUUUAGUUUUAUUUUGUAUGAAAGUUUUUUCAUUUACUUUCCCCUUCCCAUUAUUUAUAAAAGCUAUUUUGUUUUUAAAAGUUUAAAUCCACACUGUUCUAGUAAAUAGCAGCUCUCAAAUGUUAUGUUUCCAUCUUUCAAACAAUGUAUGAAUAAACAAGUAGAUUCUUAAGGACUAUCAGCUGUUCUGAAUAGCAACAUCAACCAUCGACCAGCCAAACACAAAAAUACCCAGAAAAAUUCUGAAUCAAUCCAAGCUUGAAUAAUUAAUAAUUCCAUUGUUAAUCUCAGGGAUGAGAGAACAGUAAGUAUUGCUAGAGAGGAGACAGAGUUGCUAUUAUUUGCAAACCUUUUGGAAAGUCUCACACAUCCCCAUUCAGGGAUUUUGAAUAUACUUAACAAUUGUCUUCUGUUCAUUUGUGUUUUACUUCACUGCUGCUCCAGUUCAAAGCCCCAGCAAGGGCCACUGCCUGCUUUGGGCUGGGGGGGGAGGUUCCAUAUCACAAAGGAUUUUGAAAAAGUAACAUUAGUUCAAAUCUGAAUGUAGGAGCAUAAAUAUUUGAGUCAGAGGUCAUUUAAAAUGGUCUGUUUCAAUCCUUCAUUAUAACUUUAAAACACACCAUUCUACUACACGGAGAAUGUGGAGCAAUAUACAUUCAAAUAAAAAGGAGUUUUAAAAAAGUAAAAAGAAAACUAGGAAUUUAAUAUUCAAAAUAUAGAAACUUGGUUUUAACUCUCUUCUUCCUCUGGAUUUCUUCAGAAAUAAAAUUUAUACAGAGGCUACCCACUUUGCCAAGUAUUUUAAUUUUUACUAAACUCCUUAUUCUGGUGUGAUCCACAGCACUUAGAAAUUUCCCUAAUGAGCUCAAGGAGGAACACUUAAGCACAGCAACUACUGCAAUACCAGUAGUUCAUUCCAUGAGCUGGUCUGGCCACCCAGAUGGAAAUCCAGACCAAUGCCAAGGAGGCUGCUCUGCAUUGAUAGUACUGAAACAGAGUUCAGCAUCUGGCUGCAUCUGGAUUACUGCAGCAACACAGAGCUACUGAUGUGAGAAAAGCCCCCCAUUUCCAUGUAACAAAAUUCCUUACCUACAGGACUGUAAAUGAAAAGCUGUUGUUCUCCUUCCUUUAACUUCAAUGGCUCUGGCUUCUGUUACACUCCUUUUGGAGAGGGACAGAGUUUCCUCAUGGAUUUUUUCCCAAAAAGGGAAAGGCAUCUAAGUAUGUUCCAAUCUUUACUUCUGGAUAAAGAGCUAACCUGAAGUCUUUGACCCCUAGACUGGCUCUUUAGCUCCUCACACCUUGCAUUUAGUUGCAGGUAUCUGCUACCAAAGACAUUUCCUGCUCUCUCUCCUGCAGUCCAUACUGGCUUGAUACAUAAAUGAAGUGCCAUAGUGGGGAGAAAGCAAUGAAAGCCAUCACUAUUUCUACUGUUUUCCUGCACCACAAACACAUUACAGACAUUGUUUCAAUAAAAGUGAACAUUGGUGAGAUAGGUGAGGUUUAAGGAAAGAGUAAACCACUUUUAGCCUGGGAGUAGAAUCAUAGAAUAUUUUAAGUUGGAAGGGACCCACAAGGAUCAUCAAGUCCAACUCUUAAGUGAAUGGCUCAUCGAGGGAUCAAAUCCACAACCUUGGCAUUAUUAGUACCAGGCUCUAACCAACUGAGCUAAUCCCAGUGGUAGUUCAUAUCCUAAUAAAAGUUGCAACCUGGUUAUAUAAUACCAAGGCCAUUAGAAGAUACAAAAUGAUACUCUACAAUUGCUUCCGAUUAUAAUUUUUUUUUUAUUACUGCAAUGCAGUCAAAUGAAGCAUUUUCUGUUUUUCCCCUUGUAGAGAUGUCAGGAGUCAUGGAGAGCUAUGCUAGUCACAGACCAAACCAAACAAGGCCACUUUUUAUUGAGUCCUGGGAGAAGUUCCCAUUAGCUUCAGCAACAGCAGAUUCAGGCCCUGGGAGAUCAUGGGUGUCCAUUCUUUGGUCUUUUUUUGUCCCAAAAUAAACUUUUCUUGACUUCAGUGAUUUACUCCAGUAUAACCAAAUAGACACAUACACCUGCAGUGUUAAACCUCUCAUAUCUCAUUUCUGUGUCUUAGUACCACUUUCUCCAUGGAUUUAAGAGAAACCUAACUUAAAAACACUUCCUAAUAAAUUCUCCAAAUCCAAUUUGUUUAAAAAAAUUAGGAAAAUGCUAGGCGAAACAUUUACAGCCAGGUCUUGGGAAAACAUCUUAAAAUCAGGGGGCAAAAAAGAUAUCUCUCAGCCAGAAAUUAAGGCAGUCUAUUCUUUACUUUUUUCUUCCAUCACACCUAAUGGUUUUGUGUUAAACUAAUAAAAUUCCUCAUUUAUUCUGUUGAUGCAGAGCAAUUCCUGAUGUGGAAAUUCAUCCCGCUUUCAUUUCACCAGCUUAGCACUAGCUAAUUACUUAGUAAUUAGCUAAGAUUUACUUAUGGGAAAAUUACUUCUGAUUUGUAUAAAUCUGAACAGGCAGAGAUUUCAGCCCUCAUAUCUCCCCACCAGUUGCAAAUCAAACCCGUGUCUACCCAGUGGGGUACUAAGAUUCGGCAUUUGCAGAAUCACCAAAAUAAAAUUACCUUCUUUCUUCCCUUAUUUUUUUCUUUUAAUUCUGUCAGUAUUUACAUACAACAAGAGCUUGAAUCAAUCACAAGUGGUUUUAUAUCAAAUUCCACCCUUUCAGUCUCUUGCAUGUAAAACGAAAUGACCUGAAUAUCUUGACUUCUCUGGAAUUACUUUAAAAUACAAAAACUCUUUGAAUGCAUUUAAUUCAUUCCAUUUCACUGCUGCUGCCGCAGGGCAGACCGAGAGAAGAUGUUCCCACGUGGAGGAGGUCUCCUAGGUGUUACAAACGCGGCUAGGAAUGGCCCGCAGCCCCGCUCGCCGCGGCUCAGACAAUGCCCAUCCAUGAAAGAGACCUGGUCAUGCUCCGUGCCACCGGCUUGGCAAGGUUUAUUCCCGAUUCACCCCCGUGUACGGAGAGGAGAGCGCAGCCCAAGUACCUUCCCGGCAGUUCCUAAUUCCCUGCGGCCCGCCCACGAGGCACAGGGUGCGAUGGCCGGCCUCCUUCCCCUGCGGCUCGGCGCUGCCAGCAACUCAUGCCCGGAGGCUGGCCGGGCGUUCCGAACCCCCCUCGGGAGCUGUCGUGUUCGGCAUGACUCCGACUCCCGCCCCGCUAAAGGAGAGCCAAGAACCUGAGGGGAGGUGGUGAUGAUUCAUGGUGAAACCAGAAGUACUGGCCUGGAGAGGAGCAAUGUUGGGAUGGAGGAAGACCACUAAACCUCUACCUUUGGAAUCCUGAUUUUAGAUUGCAUGUUGACAGUGACUGAAGUGGAAAGACAUUAAUGAUGCACUGAUGGCAUAAAAAUGGAAGAUGUUAUUUAACAUCACACUGCAAUAAUUGGGUGACCUUAAAGGUGAAUGCAGUGGGAGAGGAAAAGAUUGCAGUAACUCUGAGCCACACAGCUCAGGAACUGAUAGCAGGAAUUUCUGUCAUGAGGAAAAAUAUCAUUGUCUGUAAAUGAGAAGGGAAAUCAGGUCAUAGGAUAAAAAUGAAUUUUCCUUCAUCUAGUCUGACCUUCAAAGUGUGUGGAAGGGAGAGGGAUGAGGGAGAAAGGUGGUGUGGUGCUGAUGGCACUCAGGAUCUCAAACUGGCUAAGAGCCUGGCCCCAGCCUGGAAUGGAAGCUUGUCCAUUCCAGGACCUGCAGGCUCAUUUGAAAGUGAUGUCUGACAGUGUGUGACUGCAAAGGGGCGCAGCCAAAGGCCUUAGCAUUCCUUCCUGCACCCAGCAUGCAGGCCUGCAGACAGCAGCAGGGACAUCUCUCCCUGGCACUGACACUCACACAGCCUGGUGCUGCCCCAGAGCUGAGUCCUCUAAGCUCAGGGAAAAAGAAUAUGGGAUUUCUUCCCAUUCUUGUGCUAUCCACUUGUUCCCUUUCCUCACCCUCCACACCUUCUUGUUGAAACUAACACCUCUGCUCCCGAGAGAACAGCAGCCUGGCACUCCAGCGGAUGAAGCUUUGACUCUUUCCCCACCCUCCUUUUUUUUUCCCCUCUUGACAGUCUGCUUUGACCUGAGUGACAUCCUCUCUUUGCUUUCAGUCCCUGAUUUUCUGCACUUGGGGACAGACUUUGAGCAGGCAGUAAGUGUUGAGGGCGUGCAGACAGCACGGGGGGGCUGCUGUGCCCCAGAGCCUGCCAUUCAGGCAGAUGGUGGAGGGGGCUGAUGUGAAUAGCUCCUGUCAGUCUCACAGAGAGAACUUUACAAUUGUGCUACGUGUUGGACUGCAUGUGACUAAUGCCAUUCUUCUGCAGGCUGCAGGCAGGACACAGCUGUUUCUUUAAGGAGAAUUUUGUUUUUCUGGGCAGAAAAAGAAGCACCCAUGACAAUAUUGUAACCAUGUAUCCAAUAUUAUGCUCCAUAAUUAGGUGUGAUCAAAGCCCAUCCUGCCUUUCUCUGUCUCGCUUUCUGGUAAAUAAGAUAAUGCUUUUUUAAAAAGCGUGGCCUUGGUUUGGUCCUUCUGAAGGUUUAAAUUCUGUCCCCCCACAUGGCAGGUAUGCACUGAAAAAAAGCAACAGGGCCAAAUAUAGGUUUCUUUACAUAAUUCUGGAAUAAAUAAGUAUUUCAAGAGCAGGAUGAACUCUGUGACAAAUGGUACAGGGUGUGUCUGUUGAGGAGAAACAAUACUGCAAAAAUAAUUUUGAAAAUACAGACAUUAAUAUGAACAUAUGAAAGGGUGGCGACUUUCUCUUAAAAGCUGCAAAAUGAGAAACGCACAAUGGCUCUGGACAGGGAAAGAGAGUGCAUGGUACAGAAGAGCCAUGCCAGACCAGAAGGGUAGUGUGUUCCUCCUGCCCACAUUUUGGCCAGGCUCACAGCCCUGCUCCCUGCUCCCCUCUCUUUGGCAAGGCUUCUCCCCGUGGGUGUUUCUGCACUGAAAUCCGUGCUGGGCUCCUCAGCCCAGCAGCACACUCCUGACACUCCUGCACCUCCAUUCUCUUACCACAGGGCAUGGCUCUGUACCACAGCCCAGCUGGGGCUGCACUUGCACUUGGACAAGGUGCAGGCAGCCCCAGGCAGUGCUGCCCUGAGCUGGCCCCCAUGUCAGGGUGACCAUGACGCUUCAGGCAGGCAGUGAUCUAUCUAGCAAGGCACAGUGUGUGGUUCUACCCCUAACAAUUCCUUCUGGCUGCCUCCCUUGUUGUAUUUCCAGACAUGGUGUCUGCCCCUAGCGCUGGUGAAUCACCCCUUGGAGUGUGGAGCAGGCAAGAGCCUUGGUUUGGCUGGUGUGUGAGCAUCACCCACAGAUGUGUGCAGGAACUGGCUCAGCACAGGGGGAGUUCAGAGAGGAUGAGCUUUGCUUAAAGCACUUGGACCAUCCCCUCUAAAGGGUGAGCCAGGAGGUGCCUGAGCAAAAGGGUGUCUUUGAUCUCUUUCUUCUCCUUCCGUUAAAGAGCCACUGAGGCUGUAACAAGCUGCAUUUCUGUGGCAUAGCAGUCCCAGCUCAGACAUUGUGCAACACAGAUUGACCUUGGACCCACACUUGUUUGAGGUAUUUCAUACAUAGGAUUGAUAGAGACAAUAAAAGCUAAUACUAGCUACUAUUUUAGUUUCUCUUUGUUGAGAAACAGUUAGAAAUAACUGGUCAUUAUUGUCAAACCAAAAAAAAUUCCUUCCAUACCUAUAAUGCCAGAAAUAGCUGAUGAACAACAACCCUCUUCUUGGACCUGAUCUUCAAAUUUUCUUGGUGGUUUGCAGUACAAAAGCUGUGAGGGAGCUCUUGCAGUCCCAAGUGUCCUACUGGAGGGAUGCUAAGAUAAAGACUCAGUAUCCACCCUAGCUGGGCUGAACUAUCCAUGCAGAAGGCUUAGACAAAACUCUACAGAUUUCUAAAUCUUCUCUACACUUCCUGUUGUCUUGAUUGGUAACUUUAGCACUAUUCAUGGUUUGGGGAAUUCAGCCACCUUUGCAGUAGGCAGCUGUUGCACAAGGAAGUAGAACCAGCAUGUGCCAUGUUCAGUGUCUUCCCUCCAUCCCAGUUUUGGAAGUGUCCUUCUCUAAAACUGAUCUUAUGCUUCAAAGGAAUAUGUGAAGGUGACAAGGGCUGCAGCUGUUACUGAGGGUCCCUGUGGGAGCCCCUAGAAUGGUCUACAGGAGGUGAGUGCCAGCAAAUGAGAAGUGCCAAGUGCACACUGCACCCGAUGAGCAACCUGGACACAAGGAUCUUUUCAGGGCCUGCUGUUCUGCAGGUUAGGUAGAUGGAGAAACUUCCACAGAAAAGACAAUAAUCAUCAUAGAGACUGAAGAACCAGACACUUCUCUGCAGUGCCAGCUGCUGCCACCCUCACUGCCCUCAUGGUCUCAAGUGCGCACUCUUGAGCUGAGCACCGAGGCUAACUGGGUAUGUCAGGUCUGCCUCUCAGAGUGGUGCAUUUGAUUCCUAGGCUCUGUUGACCCAGGUAGGUGGCCAUCGCCUGUGGGAAACGCCGGGAACAGCCCGGCCGCCCGUGCGCCCUUCCCGGGGAUGGC